UCAUCCUUGUGCGCUACUUUGUACUUAAAUUGUUCUCGUCGUUCUUUUUAGCUCUAAAUUUAUAUUUUUCAUAUGACUGACUACUGUUUUUGCAUUCUUGAAAUUUAGCAUGGUAGGGGCCCGAAACUGACAAAUGAAGAUAUUUGUAUGGACUGCCUUAUCGCUGGUGCUUGAAAUGUUGUUUGUGCUUACAGCUACAGGGACUGGAGAAUAUCAAUGAAAGAAAUUGCGUUAAGUGCACUUUCGGAAAUUAUCCAAAUGGAACAUAUGUUGUUUCUAGGACAUGAAGAAACUAUUUCGUCGAAUUAAACAAAAUACGAGUGAGGAAAGCUUCAGCUUGAGUUUUGGAAGCUGCAAUUAAAACCUUUCCAUUCCAGAGAGAAGAAAACAUGGUUACGGAAGGUCCGUAUGGAUCAAGAAAGAGUGAGAAAGAGCAAUACGAUCCUGCAAAACAGAAAACAAUUGCCCAUCUCAUUAAAAAUGUUCUAUGAAUUCUUUGAAGCCAUAAAAUUCAAAAGUAAACAGACAUGAAUUAGAUUCAUCUUCAUCCAGAUAGUGUUGGAUUAUGGUUGAUUCUAUUCGUGGUUGAUUAUUGAUAUUGGGCUGUGUUUCUUUUAGACUUUUCUAUUUGUUUGUGCAUCCAUUUUGUUGAAUUGAUUUGUGUUUUGUUUUCUUAACUACUGUGUUUCCUUUUGUACAUUAUAUGUAGAAUGCAUUUUGUAAAUGCAAUACAAUUUUGGUGUAAUCGAGUUCAUGUUUAGAAUAAUUAAAUUAGAGAGUUUCAGUUAUUUCUUGUGAUGAGAUCGCAUAGAAUGAAUUUAUAAUGAUAAAAGUUUGUUUCUACUACAUUUGGGUUUAGUCACACGAACAUUUAACUUGUGUGCUUUGCUAUUUGUUUAUGUUGAACUUGAACAAGUGGCUAUAUUGGUGAGGAUCCCUGCGGAAUCCCAAACAACCUCAUGCCCUUUGUACAACAAGUUGCUGUCGGCAGGCGUCCUGCCUUGACAGUCUUUGGAUCUGACUAUUCAACAAAAGAUGGAACCGAAGUAAGUUUAUCGUACGUGAUUAUCUUCACAUUGUUGAUUUAGCUGAUGGACACAUUGCUGCAUUGCGCAAGCUAGUUGCGGCUGGUAUAGUUAAUACACUAAAUAUCAGGUUCUUUGCUUGUGGUGACUGGUAAUGCACAGUAGAUUUUCCUGAUCCAUUUUAGUUUUUAUUUAUGUUUAAGAACCAUUAUGGAGGAUACUUGGUAUAUUUACCCCAAGUUUCUAUUUUGAGCCUUAAUAACACUCAUAAUGCCGCGAGAAUACCAUGGAUACUAAGGAAAAUUCCUACAUUACAUGAGAGAGUAAUGUUUAGAGCUAGUGUAUAAUUAAUGUUUUAGGUUAAACAUAAAAGUCUCAGGUUCAUUACUUUGUGGCCUAAAAUGUUGGCUACUGCCCUGUUAAAUUAAUACAACUCUGGGCACUGAAUUAUUAUUUGCCGCCAAGGAAGCAAUUUAUUUGUGUUCAUAUUUUCUUGCAACCCUCUGAUUUCUUCUUUCAAGAUUUUUCCUCUUCUUUUAAUAACCACAACAGCUAAUAAUGACAAAUGAAAACUAAAUCAUCCAAGAGUUUGAGCGGUAUAUGUCAUGAAUAUCAUGAUAAGGUUGUGAAGUUUACAAUUUGGGAACUGGAAAGGGUACAUCAGUCUUGGAGAUGGUUGCAACUUUUGAAAAGGCAUCUGGAAAGGUAGUUUUACUCUACUUCUUUUGCAUUUGUUUUCUAGAAACUUGAUAGGGUUUAGAUGCAUUGGUAGUUAGAUGCAUUGGUUCUCUAGUAGUUUCUUAGAUUGGAAAUGAUCUGUUUGAGAAUUCAAAUCAUACACUUUAGUUCGGGUAUCGACUUUUCAAAUAGAUUUAGCUCGAACACACUACCGAUGAGUUUCUUCCAAAAGUUAGUGCUUGUAAAGUAUAGCAAGUAAUUCUUCCUCAUACUACAUUAUAUGUAUCAAGGUGUGUUGGGCAUAAAACUUUUUAGUGCACAUCAAUGAGCUUUUAAAUCCUUUGCAAAUGUACAUACCUCUCACUUUGUUAUAGUUUUAUUGCCUCAUAAUGUAGUUUAGUUUUAUUGCCUCAUAAUGUAAAGGUUGUUGAGAAAGAAGACUUUGAAGAACCUAUAAAAUUAAAACUAUUUGAGUUAUAGUUUCAACUUGAAAUGGCUAGCAAGGAAUAAAUGACACUUUUGUUUUGACUUUUUAAAUUUAUUGCUAUUCUUAGUUUAUUGUUAGGUUUACUCUAGAUGAUUCGAGUUUCUAUUGCAUAAUACUUUUGUGAAAAAUAUGGUGUGACACUCAAAUUUUCAUCUCUACCGGCUAUACAUGCUCGUAAUUAUGCAAAGCCCAUUUUUAGCUUUGAGUUUUGUUAUUUGUUGUUGGUUUUGGACUUUGUGUGAAGUUUUGUAAUUAAUUUAGCUGAGUUUGUGGGCUGAAUUUGGUAUUUGCGAUUCUGUUUUUCUUCUUUUUCAUAUGGAUGAAUUUGUAGAUUUCUAUUUCUAGUGAUGAAAUUGUGCUUUGUGUACUUAAACAAUAGCAUAAUUUUGUGACCCGUAUAUGUAAGGCUUUCCAUUUGAAUACCCUCUACAUUUCCAAUACCAAGCUUAGAAGUUAUAGAAAAGAAUAAUUUACUAUCAAGCUUUGAAGUUACUAUUGUUGAAGUGUGUAUGUGCUUGUGUUGUUGAAGUGAAUGUGUUGUAUUGUUGAAUCAAUUUUGUUUCCUUUUACUUUCUUACUAGGUUUUGCCAGAAUCCAUUGGAGCAGGGAAGCCAUAUUUGCGGCAAUUCAUUGAUGUAUAAGCAUUUUUGUAGAUUUGGUAGGAAAAUUUAUGGUUUAAAUGUAGUUAUUUAAAUAGCUUGUUCAUAACAAACCAUAUAUGUACCAACACUUAAAGUGAUAUUAUAAAAUGUAUGUUUUUUAUGUUAAA